CUACGGGCGGCUGCAGUGGGGAAUAUUGCACAAUGGGCGAAAGCCUGAUGCAGCAACGCCGCGUGGAGGAUGACACAUUUCGGUGCGUAAACUCCUUUUAUAUAGGAAGAUAAUGACGGUACUAUAUGAAUAAGCGCCGGCUAACUCCGUGCCAGCAGCCGCGGUAAUACGGAGGGCGCAAGCGUUACUCGGAAUCACUGGGCGUAAAGAGCGUGUAGGCGGAUAGAUAAGUUGGGAGUGAAAUCCUAUGGCUCAACCAUAGAACUGCUUCCAAAACUGUCUAUCUAGAGUAUGGGAGAGGUAGAUGGAAUUCCUGGUGUAGGGGUAAAAUCCGUAGAGAUCAGAAGGAAUACCGAUUGCGAAGGCGAUCUACUGGAACAUUACUGACGCUGAGACGCGAAAGCGUGGGGAGCAAACAGGAUUAGAUACCCCCGUAGUC
rnacentral:rRNA from 1 species